rnacentral:sRNA from 1 species
ACCAUUUAUUGUUAAGGUUUGGUUGGUGACACCCUUGUGAAAGGGGGUGCGGCCAAUGACAGUAUUUCAAGCGAUGACACUUAUGAUUAGCUUUGGCGUGCUUAUCUUGAUGCUGUCAGACAGAAAAAAAUAAUCCGCCUCAUAUGCUACUCACGAUAGCUUGAUAGACGGAUCAUUUGUUAAAAUGUGAAGUUAAUUAAUUGCAUCGCUCCGCUCUACGCGGAUAUUGUCAUCCCGUCAGUGUUCACAGCACUGGCG